CAUCAUACAAUUGUCCCAGACAAACUGUUUGUGAUGGACAAAAAUAAUGCAAACGGUUAACUAAAUACAAGUAUGUGUGAUGUACGACAUACAGUUCAUCCGGAUAAACUGUUUGCGCUGAUCAAGCAGAACACAAACGAUUGUCCAGAUGAUUAUGUGUGCGAUAGACGACAUACAAGUCAGCUAGAUGAACUGUUUGCGAUGACUUAAAGU
rnacentral:lncRNA from 1 species